CCUGCGGGUGGCAGCAGUGAGGAAUAUUGGUCAAUGGGCGCAAGCCUGAACCAGCCAAGUCGCGUGAGGGAAGACGGCCCUACGGGUUGUAAACCUCUUUUGCCGGGGAGCAAGCCUGAGCACGUGUGCCCAGGCGGAGAGAACUCGGAGAAAAAGCACCGGUAAACCCCGUCCCAGCAGCCGCGGUAAUACGGAGGAUGCGAGCGUUACCUGGAUUUAUUGGGUUAAAUGGGUGCGCAGGCGGGCUGUAAAGCCGGCGGUAAAAAUUCAGGGCUCAACCCUGUCGAGCCGUCGAAACUGGCAGUCUUGAGUGGGCGAGAAGUAUGCGGAAUGCGUGGUGUAGCGGUGAAAUGCAUAGAUAUCACGCAGAACGCCGAUUGCGAAGGCAGCAUACCGGCGCCCAACUGACGCUGAGGCACGAAAGCGUGGGGAUCGAACAGGAUUAGAUACCCUUGUAGUC
rnacentral:rRNA from 1 species